GUCAGUACCUUAUUCAAUGUCCAGGGUACUGGAGUGGUUGUAUAUACAGGUCAGUUCCUUAUUCAAUGUCCUGGAGGGGUGGAGGUGGGUUUAUACAUAAAAAGUGAUUGGUGGGGGGCCUCCCGGGUGGCACAGUGGUUAAGGGCGUAAAAUAAAAUACAUUUUAAAAAGUGAUUGGACGUAGGAUGCACAUAAACAUGGCUGAAAGGUGACUGGUUGGUAGCAGGAAUAUAUACAUAUUUAUGAUAAUAUAUUAACGGGAACAUAGUGAUAUUUAUUAUAAUCUGCAACAUUUCAACUUCUAAAAUACAUAGAGUCCUUGUAAUUUACAGCAUCGCUCAGUCAACAAAACAUUUGCUAAAGUUGCCCAAUUAGCGGGAGGGCUGGGGGAAAGAUCUGUGUCGCACACAGUGCUCAAGUCUAUGACGUCUGUCAGUCAAAACCCCGGCACAGGGUAUGUUACUGUAUAGCAUGUUACUGUAUAGCAUGUUACUGUAUAGCAUGUUACUGUAUAGCAUGUUACUGUAUAGCAAAGUUGGGUCGAAGCUCUGAAGACGACAGCAUUACGGUACGGCGCCAUCUUAUGGAAAACAUGGACACUGUUACAGGAGAAUAGAUUGGAUCGCAGCGGCUUUCCGCCGUGGGAAAACCAGAUGAUCUGAGAUGCAAAAUCCCAUCUAAAGUCAAGAAUCCAGUGGCUUGAUUUAUUAAAACUAAAAGUUUUUAUUUGUAAAAUUCAAAAUAAUACAUUCAGAUAAUAACAAAGGUUCCAAUAUUCAAAACAUGUGUGCCUUCACAGUAUCUCAAGCAUUUGCCCUAACCAGCAAGCCUUACUUCCUGUCUCUAAAUUCCCAAUUUACAUAUCUGGGCGGGCCCGCCAGUAUUUCUAACUGUUUCUGGCUAGAGGGCGUAAUUGACCGUUUCGCAUUUAAAUCAAAAGACCACAUAACCAAAUUAAUGUAUACACCUUAUAUAGAAUCGAAAUGAUUCUAAAUGGUGCAAUAUGACCUAAUAAACAGAUAUUUGCAUAACCAAAGAAAGAUAGAAACUGGCUCCAACAGGGGAAGAAAGAGAAGAUGGGAAUGUGCCCUGUUUCUUUGUUUGUUGUAAUUUACAACUUCAUAUAAAGCUUGGAAAUGAAAGCUUGAGAGUUAAACUGAACUGCUUCAGCAAAGACUCAUGGGAAAGGAGAAAGGAGGAGUGUGUUGGUCUGGAAAUAACAGCUGAUUAGAAAGGUUGAGAAUGAGAUUCAAAUGCAGGUUGUGUCAGUGGCCCUGCGCUACCAAAGGUUUUAAACUGGAUAUGAUCUACUAUGAAACUGAACUGCUAUAGCAAAGGAAUCCAAGCUGGACAAUUACCUAACAGCUAGUCUCUCGUGUCAUGACAGACUUCUAGGUUCCGAGACGACAGCCUUCUAGGUUCCGAGGUGACAGACUUCUAGGUUCCGAGACGACAGACUUCUAGGUUCCGAGAUGACAGACUUCUAGGUUCCGAGAUGACAGACUUCUAGGUUCCGAGACGACAGACUUCUAGGUUCCGAGGUGACAGACUUCUAGGUUCCGAGGUGACAGACUUCUAGGUUCCGAGACGACAGACUUCUAGGUUCCGAGGUGACAGACUUCUAGGUUCCGAGACGACAGCCUUCCAAGAUUAGCCUUCAGAGUCUUAAAACGACAUUGUAUUUAUAAUACUGAGUCAUCAUGUUUGUUGCUUUGCAUUGCAUUCAAAUUGAAGGCUUGAAUUCUUGAUUUGCCUCUAGAAUAAACGUGGGAGUUUUAUACCAUGCCAUGGUUUUACAGCUGCUGUCUUGCCAUUGUAAUAAUAUAGCUCGUAAAUAAUUACAAUAUCAUCAUUCAAAAAUAAUCUCUUUUUAUAUGUGGUUAUUUACAGUAAUUUAUUAGCUUCAAUAGAAACAUGGGCUUCCCACAUUAUGUUAAAGAAGAACAUAAUGCCCUGCAUCUAAAUAUACUUGUAUGUUAUAUGGGUAUCUGACAUUCAUUCAAUGGAAAAUGAAGAAAUAAUAAGAUAUUGUCAAGGAAAUGUAUAGUCUUUCAUUUGUCCUGUCUAGAUAGGAAUAUCACAAGCAAAUCAGGUAUGUCUAUGGUGCAGUGUAUGUUACGCAUGAACGUGUAUACUUUGUUAGACAAUUCUGUGCAUUAUCUGUACUGCCUACUAAUGCUAUACUGUACAUCCUGAAAAGAUAAGCUACUGAGGAUUAGCUCCUGCAUUCACCACCCAUGAGUGGUCUAGCUAUAAUGUUUGUUCCCG
ensembl:lncRNA